AUGGGCCGAAAGAAGAAGACUUUACAUGAGUAUGCAGCUGAGUUCACAGACCUAGGGGUAAAACAGCAACUGCUUGAACACAGUGAGUCUGGUGGCACCUCUGUGGUGGAGAUUCUCUACUGCAAAUCCUGUGAGCUGCCCAUGAGGGUAAGGAGGGACCGCAUCCUGGAGCACCUGUCCUCUGGCAGGCAUUACAGGAACCGUCGGCUAGUUAAGCAGCAUGGAGGCCACACUCCUGUCCUCGUACCUGCAGCCUCAGAACUCAGUAGUGGCCUCCCUGUCCAAGUUGAUCCUCCACCAGCCUUGCUUUCUCAGCCUUCCUGUGUUUUACCAGGUGCUCCCUGCAUCACCAGUGCCAGUACCAGUACCAGUACCAGUGCCAGCAUGGUGCCUUCGCCUCCUUCCUACCACAAAGCUUUGUUUCCUGCCCACCCCAGUGCCACCAGCUCCACAACCAGCACUGUGCCUGUCAGAAAAGACCAAACUCCAUCUACCUCCACCAACCACACUUCUCCAUUCAUGACUCUUCAUGGGAGAAGCCCAAUAGUCCCCUCAAAACAGACUAGCCAAAGGCUUGUUAUUUCAGAAGCAUCCAACAGUGUGGCUUCUGGAAGUGGAGCAGGAUGGUUUCAUAGCAAUGGGGCCUUGGGAAGCAGCCUUGGCCUGGCUCUCUUUGGGGUAGGGUAUGGGAACAAGGCCUUGUUUCAGAGCUUAGUGGAAGAAAGCAGGUGUUGCUUGCUUUACAUUGUUGAAGAUCAGCUGUCUGAUGUUGAGCAGGCCUUCAGAUCUGACUAUUUGGUGAACACCCGAGUGCUUCGAGAGCAAGAUGCCGACAUUGUACUUAAUGAUCAGCGGGUCUCUGGAGUUGUUAUCUGUUCACCCCCUGAAGCAGCUUCUGAAAUAGUGAUGGAUGCUUUGAGAGCAGGGAAAGGUGUGUUUUGCGAGAAACUUCCUACUUUGGAUAGACAAAUUGCUGAGAUGUGUUUCGAUGAAGCUAACAGAUGUGGGAAACCAUUAGUCUGUGGAUUCUACAAGCGUUUUGAUCCAGCUUUACAAUUCUUGUACCAGAAAGUCCGUGAGAGCCACGCACUAGGGAGGAUACAUCGGAUAGCUGUUGUUAGCAGCCUCUAUCCGGCAGCUUCUCUCAGUUUACUAAGGAAGUCAGGAGGGAUUUUUUAUAAUGCUGCUGUACAUGACAUGGACAUCAUUACUCUCUUGUUGGGAGAAAGCAUUCCAGAUACAGUCUUUUCCUUGGGACAUGCAUUCUGCUCAGACUUGUGGCGUCUCUCAUCCAGGCAGAGAGGCCAGGCUCUCCUCAUUUGGGGCUGGUGUUGGUGGGACCAGUCACAUGUACUGGAAGUUUCCCAUGAGAACCAUCUGUCCCAAGGAUGCAGUGCCCAGCUACAGAAUUAUGUGGCCUCUUUGGACGACGUCGACAGCGCCGUGAUCAGCAUGAAGUUUCCUAGCGGGGCCAUCGUUAGCCUGGACGUCAGUCAGCACUGCACCAGAAGCUGCGAUCAGAGAGUGGAGGUCCAUGGGUCUCAAGGAACAUUACGGGUCGAUAAUCAGAACCCCCUGGGGAUUAUUGAGCAUGGAACCUCUGUGUCCGUGUACUCACACACGCAUGCCGAUCGGUACCAAGAAGCAUAUAGAAGACUCUUUCGACACUUUCUCAGAGCCCUUAAAGGAAAAGAACCCCCAGUCAUCCCCAAAGAGCAGUUUCUCUGGAGCAUUCAAUUGGCUGCAGCAGCUGAGCAGUCCUGGCGGGAUGGGUCGGCUGUCGACCUACGCAAUGAAGGGCGAGACACAGAUGCUGUGACAUCGAUUAUUAAGACUGAAAUACUGUGAAGAAGGAAGGCCUUGCUGAAGUUUUGCUAAAGAAGGCAAUCUUUUAUUAAUUGCAGUCUUCUGUGACAUUAUUUCCACUGGAAACCAAGAGCUAGGAAUUUGGGGAAAAUAUAUGAAUAUAGCCCUGAUGUAGCAAGUAAUUUUCUUAAGCUAUUCUGUUAGGCCCAGAAAUGAGGCUUGGAGGGCAUCAUUCUGCCAGUGUGAUUUCCUUUGUAUUUGAAAGGGGACCCUUAGGGGAGAAAGAUAGACACUGUUUUUAAAGAACCCAUCGACACAUAUGCAUUAUCUAUCCAGAGCAAUGCACCAACCACUUAGUUUCCACAUUAUAGAAUGAAACAGGUUCAUAUGAAAGUUGUUUUGGAGUUCUCUUAUUUGGGGGGGGGCAGUAGGAGGAGUAGAAUGGGUGAAAGAGAAUGAUACUCCUUUUUCCUCUGAGAGAAGAGAGUAAGAUAAACAGUUUAAGAUAAGGCUUUUCUCCCCUCCAACAGUCAAGUCUAGAUGGGAUUGUGUGUAAAUAUCCCAGAAAAAGAGAGUGCCUUCUCUGCUUUAAGCCAAGUUUUUGGGGUCUCCUUUUCAUUCUUUUGUCAGACUUAUUGCAAAUGUUUUUAUAUACUUGGAAAUUCUUGUCUGUAAUUUCCCAUAUCCCACUUUUUCAAGUAAAAGUAAGUUUUCUAACAAAGCAAAAUGUCACUCUUGUGUUCAACGUGUCAGUGUUACUCUGGUCAUUUUUUCUUCAUGGAAGACUAUGUACUCUUUGAAAACCUAUUUGGCAACAGUAUUACUAAAUCUAUGAUCAUUUGUGGGACAUAUUUUUAACUCAGAUCACCCAGGCCUUAGAAAGCCAUGUCUUUAGGACACAUUUUACAGCCCCCAAAACAGCGGCCAUCUUUGUAGGUUAAUUUCCUGGUCACUUUUAUAGGAAGAUGGUUAUGAACAAAAACUGACCUCCGUGAGCCCAAAGGCAGCUCUAAUGAAAAGUCCUGCAGAGAUGGAGACUUUCCCUUCAGCACAGAAGUGCAUGUCUGUGGCUGUGGAGCUCGACUGUCUCUUCCUAACGUAAAGGGGAGCAUCCACUCAUAAACACUUGUUGCUUCCAGGGCUGGAGGUCUGAACUCUAAUCCCAACAACCUCUUGGUUUUAGCAAGAAGUAGCUUCCUUUGCCCAGCAUGCCUCCCACCCUCCAUAGUGGCCCUCCUACACAGAUUUGCCCAUAAUGUAUAUAUAUAUCAGGGUCUUAAAAAUGAUACUAAACUCUCUAGGACUUCCAGGAGGACGUGUUAAAAUCCCAUUUUGUGUCUUUCAGAAUCACGACUCAUUACAUUGCUUCACCUCUUCCCCCCUUCUCCCCUACCCUAAUGGAGAGGCCUUGUGGAGUGAAUGAGCUUCAAAUUCAGGAAGACCUGGGUUCAAGUUCCAUCUCAUGCUGUUUCUGUGACCCUGGGCAAAUCCCUUGAAUUCUCAUUGUUCUAGGACCAAGUUGUAGAGACGGUGCCCUCUUACAAUGGGGGGAGGGAGUUUUCUUGUCAUGAAGCUCCCUCUAGCAAGAAAAUCUUAGGUUCAGUCCCUACUGUGAAGCCAUCAGGUAAGUGAUAGAAGGUGGCACCUUCCUUGGACUUGGGGAAGAGCCAAGGCCUACUAGAAGCUCAAUCACUUAGUCAGGUAAGCGACUCAAGUAUUUGUGUGUCUUAAUUUCCUGGUGGGUCAUGUGUAGAUGGUAACUACCUCUACUGAUGAGUAUCAUUGUGUAAAAGGGCUUCACAUUCCUUGCCUGGAAGGAGCCUUAAAAACAACUUCAGACUACUUGUUUUUCAAAAACAUGAUUCUCUUUCCAUUUAUUAAUAUUAUUGCAUUGUUAUCUGUAGUAAUUAAUGACUACCAGUAAUAAUUAUAAUUUGUUUUUAAUUAUUUUAGUAUUACUAUAGACCAGGGGGUAUGGGGGAACUUCCAGUAUACAAGCUCCCUUCACUGAUGCAGAGCUGCAAGCCAUCCUAGUCUUAGAGAAGUUAGUCUUAACUGGAGGUCUGUGAAAUUAUUUUUUUUCUAACUUUUUGACAACUAUAUUUCAAUAUAAUUAGUUUCUUUUGUAAUCCUAUAAUUUUAUUUUUUAAACAUCUUCAAUUGUUGUUUAUCAGUUAGUGUGAGAAAGGUUCUAUAGGUUUCACCAGACUUCCAAAGGAGUCCCAUGACACAAUAAAGGUUUAGAACCCCUCUUCA
rnacentral:lncRNA from 1 species